rnacentral:rRNA from 1 species
AUUGAACGCUGGCGGCAGGCCUAACACAUGCAAGUCGAACGAGUGGCGGACGGGUGAGUAAUGUCUGGGAAACUGCCCGAUGGAGGGGGGUAACUACUGGAAACGGUAGCUAAUACCGCAUACCAUCGGAUGUGCCCAGAUGGGAUAAGCUAGUAUGUGGGGUAACGGCUCACCUAGGCGACGAUCCCUAGCUGGUCUGAGAGGAUGAACAGCCCCACAGGGGCUGCCACACGGCCCAGAUUCCUAGGGGAGGCAGCAGUAGGGAAUAUGGCAAAAUGGCGGCCAGCCUGAUGCACACAGGCGCCGUGUAUGAAGAAGGCCUUCGGCUUGUAAAGUGCUUUCAUCUGGGGAGAGUUACUGGCAGAAGAAGCGCCGGCUAACUCCGUGCCAGCAGCCGCCGUAUUUC